rnacentral:rRNA from 1 species
UACGUAGGGGGCAAGCGUUGUCCGGAUUCAUUGGGCGUAAAGAGCGUGUAGGCGGCCAGGUAGGUCGGUUGUGAAAACUGGAGGCUCAACCUUCAGAGGUCGACCGAAACCAUCUGGCUAGAGUCCGGGAGAGGAGAGUGGAAUUCCUGGUGUAGCGGUGAAAUGCGUAGAUAUCAGGAAGAACACCCGUGGCGAAAGCGGCUCUCUGGAACGGUACUGACGCUGAGACGCGAAAGCGUGGGGAGCGAACAGG